rnacentral:rRNA from 1 species
AGGGGAUAACUACUGGAAACGGUAGCUAAUACCGCAUAACGUCGCAAGACCAAAGAGGGGGACCUUCGGGCCUCUUGCCAUCGGAUGUGCCCAGAUGGGAUUAGCUAGUAGGUGGGGUAACGGCUCACCUAGGCGACGAUCCCUAGCUGGUCUGAGAGGAUGACCAGCCACACUGGAACUGAGACACGGUCCAGACUCCUACGGGAGGCAGCAUG